AUGUUCAUAUACACUCACAAUAAAAGGGGGGAAAUUAGGCAUAACAGCCUGUAUAUACACAUAACAUUGAAUCUCAUAUACUUAUACAUAUAUAGGCUGAAUAUUCAAUCUUUCCUCCACCAUAUUCAUUGUCAUAUAUUAGGACCUUCUUUACAAGCCCACAAUAUUCAUUUUCUAUUUUUCUUCAUAACUUAA